CUUUUGAAGCUGGAUUUUGACUUCCAAUUUUCUUUGGUUUGAAGAGGGUUAGAAAUGGCAAACACCAAGUGGAAUAAAUUGUGCAUGGACGAAGAUGAUCUAAUGUUCAAUGUCGAAGUGCGAUACAAACAUGGUAUUUUGCUGCAAAUGCAAACUUCUUGGUCAGAUCGAAAUCCCGGAAGACGAUUUUGGUCUUGUACUCACUAUGAGGAGCAACUGUAUUUGGAGGAGGAGUGUGUGGAGGAGCAGCAGUGUUAGGAGGAGCAACAACAUUGAUUGAAAGAGCAACAACAGUGUUUGAAGGAAGAGCAGCAGAACCAUUAAAAGCAGCCCAUUUAUUAAAAGUUGAACAAGAUUCCUCCUCAGGAAUGUGCACAUAUACUUCCGAAACAGCCCCAUGUUGUAAAGACUUACUAAUUGCUAAACGAGCCCUGUCAUUAUCAAUAUCUCCUAAAAUGCUACAGUUAGA